UACGUAGGGUGCAAGCGUUGUCCGGAAUUAUUGGGCGUAAAGAGCUCGUAGGCGGUUUGUUGCGUCGGGUGUGAAAUCCCGAGGCUCAACCUCGGGUCUGCAGUCGAUACGAGCAAACUAGAGUGUUGCAGGGGAGACUGGAAUUCCUGGUGUAGCGGUGAAAUGCGCAGAUAUCAGGAGGAACACCGGUGGCGAAGGCGGGUCUCUGGGCCGAUACUGACGCUGAGGAGCGAAAGCGUGGGGAGCGAACAGG
rnacentral:rRNA from 1 species